GAUGAACGCUGGCGGCGUGCCUAAUACAUGCAAGUCGAGCGAACAGACGAGGAGCUUGCUCCUUUGACGUUAGCGGCGGACGGGUGAGUAACACGUAGGUAACCUACCUAUAAGACUGGGAUAACUUCGGGAAACCGGAGCUAAUACCGGAUAAUAUUUCGAACCGCAUGGUUCGAUAGUGAAAGAUGGCUUUGCUAUCACUUAUAGAUGGACCUGCGCCGUAUUAGCUAGUUGGUAAGGUAACGGCUUACCAAGGCAACGAUACGUAGCCGACCUGAGAGGUUGAUCGGCCACACUGGAACUGAGACACGGUCCAGACUCCUACGGGAGGCAGCAGUAGGGAAUCUUCCGCAAUGGGCGAAAGCCUGACGGAGCAACGCCGCGUGAGUGAUGAAGGUCUUCGGAUCGUAAAACUCUGUUAUUAGGGAAGAACAAACGUGUAAGUAACUGUGCACGUCUUGACGGUACCUAAUCAGAAAGCCACGGCUAACUACGUG
rnacentral:rRNA from 1 species